rnacentral:tRNA from 1 species
GCCUGGAUGGCUCAGUGGUUGAGCAUCUGCCUUUGGCUCAGGUUGUGAUCCUGGGGUCCUGGGAUCGAGUCCCACAUCGGGCU